UACGUAGGGUGCGAGCGUUAAUCGGAAUUACUGGGCGUAAAGUGUGCGCAGGCGGCCGAGCAAGUCGAGUGUGAAAGCCCCGAGCUUAACUUGGGAACUGCGCUCGAAACUACUUGGCUAGAGUGUGGCAGAGGGAGGUGGAAUUCCACGUGUAGCGGUGAAAUGCGUAGAGAUGUGGAGGAAUACCGAUGGCGAAGGCAGCCUCCUGGGCCAACACUGACGCUCAUGCACGAAAGCGUGGGGAGCAAACAGG
rnacentral:rRNA from 1 species